UGGCAACAAGGCUAACAAGGAGGAGGUCCUAAAAUGCCUCAUUAGUGCUGUGCACAGCUUCAAACGAUGUCCCCUGCUAGCUGCCUGUGACCCUGCAUUAUCACUUCAAAUUUGAUGUUUCAGAUAAGAAUCCUGAGUGCUGGCUGGAUGUUACCACUUGAAGUACUCCUUUGUCAUUUCUCCCUUGUAGAUUCUUUACCAGCCCCACUCCAAGGAUUGAAAACCCCUAGUGAGGAGCACAUUUGAAGGCACUUCCCUGUAUGUGACAGCUGUCAGCAGAUUGAUCAGCUAAGAGCACAAGGAGAACUACUCCGAUGAUGCUUGCAUUCCAGAGUCUGUGACCAAGUUUCUGCAUUCUUUCUAACUUGUGGUGUACUUGACAACAUGUAUUUCU